GGCUGACAGCGCGCUCCCCGUGGAAGGCGGGACGGACGCCGACUUUCGUCUGCUGGGAGUUCACCGAGAGAGCGCACCAGCUCCCGCAGGGAUCCUCCCUCCCGCGCCUGCAGCUGGUCCUGCGGCUCCGCGCGGAAGGAGGAAGGCGAAUCCCCUCCCCUCGCGGGUAGUGCCACGUCCUCAGGCGGGGCAGCCAGGCCGCGCCACUAGCGGCAGCCCUUAUUUCGGGGGCGGGAUGGGUCGAAGAAAAGACCUAGCUUCUCCGAGCACCACUGCAGUGUCAGAAGUGCCGCUCUCCGCGCCGUGAGGGCUGGGGAUUUCUCUGACUUCAGGGAGUAGCCCGUCUUACUCAACACUGUGCAGUUGUAUAUGAGCCUUAAAGUCAGAAGAAAUUAAACAACAAUCUUUGGAAUCUAUAGUGAUCUACAAAGAGGCAAGUAGUUAUUGGACUCACCCUACUGAGAGACCACCUACUAGGACACUGCCCUGCCUUACGUAUUGUUCUAAUGAACAGCAAAGAUUCAAAGGUCCAUAAAAGAGCAAAUUAAGACAUUAAUCAAGCCUCUCUUUUGACUGUCAAUGCAAGCCACAAUUUCCUACUGUGAAAAAUGCUAAUGAAACAAAGUAA